UACGAAGGGAGCUAGCGUUGUUCGGAAUUACUGGGCGUAAAGCGCAUGCAGGCGGAUCGUUAAGUUGGAGGUGAGAUCCCGAGGCUCAACCUCGGAACUGCCUUCAAUACUGGCAAUCUUGAGUCCGGGAGAGGUGAGUGGAACUCCGAGUGUAGAGGUGAAAUGCGUAGAGAUUCGGAAGAACACCAGUGGCGAAGGCGGCUCACUGGACCGGUACUGACGCUGAGAUGCGAAAGCGUGGGGAGCAAACAGG
rnacentral:rRNA from 1 species